rnacentral:rRNA from 1 species
UACAGAGGUCCCAAGCGUUGUUCGGAUUCACUGGGCGUAAAGGGUGCGUAGGCGGUCGGGUAAGUCUGAUGUGAAAUCUCACAGCUUAACUGUGAAACUGCAUUGGAUACUAUCCGGCUCGAGGAAUGGAGGGGAGACUGGAAUACUUGGUGUAGCAGUGAAAUGCGCAGAUAUCAGGAGGAACACCGGUGGCGAAGGCGGGUCUCUGGGCCGAUACUGACGCUGAGGAGCGAAAGCGUGGGGAGCGAACAGG